GGAAAGCACAAGGGUCAACUCCACAGCAGCUGGGUGGGUGGGGUCAAAGGAGCAGUUGUCAAUGUGUCACAGAGGACAAGCAUGCUGGGCAGUGCAGGGAUCCCACGCAAGCACCAACAACAGAUACUGUGGAGGUAGGCGAAGCAGCCCCAGAUCCCAGCGGGAGUGUGGACCAGAAACAAGUUUGUUCCAUGCUGAAAAGGGGUACCCACCACACGGGCUCUGGUGCCAAGGCCAGCGGUGGCGAAGACAUUUCACUGCAAGAUUCUUACGUCAUUCCCUGAAGGGAGUGUGGACUGAGGUAACAUGCCAGACUGUGGAGUAAUCUACUGACUUUUGAAAAAGGAACCAGGCUUGCCGGCCUCUGGCUCAGGAAAUUUUGGGAGACUGUUUUGUCUCUGCCUCCCACCUCGCUGUAGGAGUCUUCGGAUUACAGAUGUGAGCACUGCAUCCGGUUUCCAUGGAUCCGGGAAUUGAACUCGGGUCAUAACGCUUGUGCCGCUGCGACUCUCGUCUUCCAAGCUGUCUCCCCGUCUUCUUCCUCCCUUAAAGACCAACACGAUUAAUCACACACAGAGGGGAACAACUUGCCCUUCUCCCAGCUGAUAGUCUCACACCCAGAAUAUAUCAAAGGCAUUCACAACUCCAAAGCAACAUGAUGCAUGAUCAUUUAACAGGUGGAUGGACGACCAGGAGGACACUUUGUUGACGAAGACAGAUGGAGGCCUCUCCUGACAUCCGGUGAGCACUGCCUGCUGCGUCAGCCUCUCCCAGCUGCACCCAUGCCCCAGGUGCCCAGUGUCCCUGUCAUCCUGUUUCCCACAGUGUUCAACUCCUUUCUCAUGCCCUGCAAGUUUUACCCAUGUGUUCUGCGUACAGCUGCAGCAUCUUGACCCUGGAGGAUCUGAGGCAUAACCAGCCCAUCUUUUGAUUGAUGUAUCUAGAAGCACCUAAUAGGUACUUGGUAAAUGUUUCUUUUCUGACUGAGUUGAAUUUAUAAAUCCACAGUAGGCUGUACUUGUCCCCUUUACCUUUGGCAUCGUGUAGUCCUACUAUAUGACAGAGCACGGAAGUGGCUUGCCCACACUUCUGUUUAAUCUAAGGAAUCAAACUUGCUCUUGAGUUUGGGAGACUUCCAGCCAUCACAGCUUCAGAUAUCCACCCUGUUACUUCUGUUGUUUCCUAGAACAUCAGUUAAGUGCAAUUUAGAUUCUCAGUUCUCAACUUCUAUUGCUGUGAUAAACACCAUGACCAAAAGCAACAUGGGGAGGAACGGGUUAAUUUCAGUUUCAAGUAAUAAAACAGUCCAUUGUGAAAGGAAGUCAGAGCAGGAACCUGGAGACAGGAGCUGAAGAAGAAACCGUGCUGGCUUGCUCCUCAUGGCUUACUUAGCUUCUUUUAGCCCAGGGACAGCACCACCCACAGUAGGCUGGGCCCUCCACCUCAAUGAUUGAUCAAGAAAAGGUGCCUCACAGACUUAACUGCCGGCCAGUCAGACAGAAGCAUCUUCUCAAUUGAGGUUCCUGUAGAAAGUAAGGUGCACUGGUUAAUAUUAAUAUUAGUGUGGGGGGUUUCUAUCCACCUUGGAUGAUUUAGUUCCCAGAUGAAAGACACAAACCCUUCAUAUAUUUAUGAUAAGCCUUUACAGCACCAGAACUGGGCAGAUACCUACUACCCUCUAAGCUACUGGUAUAGUGAGGACAGGGCUGUUCCAAGGUAUGGCUGAGGGAAGGCUUUCAUUGUAGAUAUGAGGAAGGGUACAGCCAGAGGCAUCCAGUAGAGUCCAGAGCAGGGGAAGAAGGAGACUGAACCAGGCCAUGAGAGGGGAGAGAUGGGAGGAGAGCAAGAAAGAGAAGAGAAGGAGCCGAGAGACCCCACAGCUGACCCGGUGGUUACAUAGGAAGGAGAAGCUGUGGGAGGGAAGCCUCGAUCUGGAGAAGUUUAGGGGAAGGGGGCACGAGCUGAGGAGAGCCACAGGUAGCUGUUAUACUGAAAUAGCCUCAGAUGCACCACAGUCAGCUGUUUGAACCUGAUGGUUCCCUCUUCCCAAACAGCACCACCUAUCUGGUUGACAAGAAGCUAGACGGCACCUGCUCCUCUCUGCCUGUGGAGCCUAUCUUUGGACGUCACUGGGCACUCCUCCUGCCUUUUCUGGUUUCAGCUAGGUUGACUCUGCAGUGUCGCUCAGUAGUGAGGUUUUCAUACCCAGUGAGAUUCCCAUAAUCUGCUCUGCUUGGUUCCUUUUCAAGUUUAGUCUUUUCUGGAGAGUUACUUUGCUAAAUGCCCAUAGUUUUGGCUCUCAGUUUCGUUUCUUUACAUACUAAAAGCAUUUAUUUAGAGUUUGCGAGAUGGCUCAGUGGGUAGAAGCAUUUGUCAUACAAACCUGGGGACCUGAGUUU